rnacentral:lncRNA from 1 species
UGAGGGCGGAAAGUGGGAAAGGCGGUCAGAAGGGAGUGGAGGAGGUCUUGGGCACGUGGGGCCUUGUCGGUCUUUAUAAAAUCUUGGACUUUCUCCUGGGACAACAUGGGAGCCAGUGCUGUUUGGAGCAGAGGGUUGAGACGAAGACAUCCUGGGCUUCUGCUCCUCGUCUGGUCUGAAUGAAAGUUGUGAGACAGCAGGUGAAACAAGCAGAGAACGACCUGGCUGCCUUAGCUCAAGAGGGAUUCACAAGCGCGUCCUAGGCCACACCAGGGUUUUUCAGGACACUGCGAGGGUGGACCAGGCAACUGGCAUAACAUUUAGCUAUGUCCAAUUUUUACCCACUGUGCCGGUCUCCUUAUUUCCUGUGUUAGAAUUACUUGUAAUUACCGCCGGUCUCCAGAGA